rnacentral:rRNA from 1 species
UACGUAGGGUGCGAGCGUUGUCCGGAAUUACUGGGCGUAAAGAGCUCGUAGGUGGUUUGUCGCGUCGUCCGUGAAAUCCCAUGGCUUAACUGUGGGCGUGCGGGCGAUACGGGCAGACUUGAGUACUGCAGGGGAGACUGGAAUUCCUGGUGUAGCGGUGGAAUGCGCAGAUAUCAGGAGGAACACCGGUGGCGAAGGCGGGUCUCUGGGCAGUAACUGACGCUGAGGAGCGAAAGCGUGGGGAGGCGAACAGGAUUAGAUA